AGUAGAGAAGUGAUUUGCUGUUGGAUAGAAGUAUCCACACCUCCAAAGUACACUGAACUUUUACUAAGAUUAGCUUUUAGUCCAGAUGCAUCAGUGAAAUAAGAGAAAUACUGGAACAUAACUUCUACUGAUCUGUAUUCCUCUUUGACAAACAACAACAGAUCAUCAGCAAAACUGAGGUGAGUAAUACCUAGUCUUUUGCAUC
rnacentral:lncRNA from 1 species